UCCCCGUUACCGGGGCAGUCUAGCCAGAAAAAUUCAACUGGCUACAAGGGUUGCGCUCGUUGAUGGACUUAACCAAACAUCUCACGACACGAGCUGACGACGGCCAUGCAACACCUGUCACUACGGCCCGAAGGCACUUACUCCUUUCGGAGUAAUUAGUAGGAUGUCAAGCCUGGGUAAGGUUCUUCGCUUAUCCUCGAAUUAAACAACACGCUCCACCGCUUGUGCGGGUCCCCGUCAAUUCCUUUAUGUUUUAGCCUUGCGGCCGUACUCCACAGGCGGGAUGCUUAACGCGUUAGCUUCGCCACGUUCAGGGUCGAUACUGAACACGGCUAGCAUCCAUCGUUUACGGCGUGGACUAC
rnacentral:misc_RNA from 1 species